CCUGAGCUGACGUGCGGAGCCAGAGCCACCCAAUCCCGUAGGGACAGGUUUCGCAACUUCCCGGAUGGGGCUGUGGUGGGUCACAGUGCAGCCUCCAGCCAGAAGGAUGGGGUGGCUCCCACUCCUGCUGCUUCUGACUCAAUGCUUAGGGGUCCCUGGGCAGCGCUCGCCAUUGAAUGACUUCUAGGUGCUCCGGGGCACAGAGCUACAGCGCCGCUACAAGCGGUGGUGCCCAGGCCUUGGCAGGAGGAUGUGGCAGAUGCUGAAGAGUGUGCUGGUCGCUGUGGGCCCUUAAUGGACUGCCGGGCGUUCCACUACAAUGUGAGCAGCCAUGGUUGCCAACUGCUGCCAUGGACUCAACACUCGCCCCACACGAGGCUGCGGCAUUCUGGGCGCUAUGACCUCUUCCAGGAGAAAGACUACAUACGGACCUGCAUCAUGAACAAUGGGGUUGGGUACCGGGGCACCAUGGCCACGACCGUGGGUGGCCUGUCCUGCCAGGCUUGGAGCCACAAGUUCCCGAAUGAUCACCAGUACAUGCCCACGCUCCGGAAUGGCCUGGAAGAGAACUUCUGCCGUAACCCUGAUGGCGACCCCGGAGGUCCUUGGUGCCACACAACAGACCCUGCCGUGCGCUUCCAGAGCUGCGGCAUCAAAUCCUGCCGGGUGGCCGCGUGUGUCUGGUGCAAUGGCGAGGAAUACCGCGGCGCGGUAGACCGCACCGAGUCAGGGCGCGAGUGCCAGCGCUGGGAUCUUCAGCACCCGCACCAGCACCCCUUCGAGCCGGGCAAGUUCCUCGACCAAGGUCUGGACGACAACUAUUGCCGGAAUCCUGACGGCUCCGAGCGGCCAUGAUGCUACACUACGGAUCCGCAGAUCGAGCGAGAAUUCUGUGACCUCCCCCGCUGCGGGUCCGAGGCACAGCCCCGCCAAGAGGCCACAAGUGUCAGCUGCUUCCGCGGGAAGGGUGAGGGCUACCGGGGCACAGCCAAUACCACCACCGCGGCGUACCUUGCCAGCGUUGGGACGCGCAAAUCCCGCAUCAGCACCGAUUUACGCCAGAAAAAUACGCGUGCAAAGACCUUCGGGAGAACUUCUGCCGGAACCCCGACGGCUCAGAGGCGCCCUGGUGCUUCACACUGCGGCCCGGCAUGCGCGUGGGCUUUUGCUACCAGAUCCGGUGUUGUACAGACGACGUGCGGCCCCAGGACUGCUACCACGGCGCGGGGGAGCAGUACCGCGGCACGGUCAGCAAGACCCGCAAGGGUGUCCAGUGCCAGCGCUGGUCCGCUGAGACGCCGCACAAGCCGCAGUUCACGUUUACCUCCGAACCGCAUGCACAACUGGAGGAGAACUUCUGCCAGACCCAGAUGGGGAUAGCCAUGGGCCCUGGUGCUACACGAUGGACCCAAGGACCCCAUUCGACUACUGUGCCCUGCGACGCUGCGCUGAUGACCAGCCGCCAUCAAUCCUGGACCCCCCCACAGACCAGGUGCAGUUUGAGAAGUGUGGCAAGAGGGUGGAUCGGCUGGAUCAGCGUCGUUCCAAGCUGCGCGUGGCUGGGGGCCAUCCGGGCAACUCACCCUGGACAGUCAGCUUGCGGAAUCGGCAGGGCCAGCAUUUCUGCGGGGGGUCUCUAGUGAAGGAGCAGUGGAUACUGACUGCCGGCAGUGCUUCUCCUCCUGCCAUAUGCCUCUCACGGGCUAUGAGGUAUGGUUGGGCACCCAGAACCCACAACAUGGAGAGCCAGGCUUACAGCGGGUCCCAGUAGCCAAGAUGCUGUGUGGGCCCUCAGGCUCCCAGCUUGUCCUGCUCAAGCUGGAGAGAUCUGUGACCCUGAACCAGCGUGUGGCCCUGAUCUGCCUGCCGCCUGAAUGGUAUGUGGUGCCUCCAGGGACCAAGUGUGAGAUUGCAGGCUGGGGUGAGACCAAAGGUACGGGUAAUGACACAGUCCUAAAUGUGGCCUUGCUGAACGUCAUCUCCAACCAGGAGUGUAACAUCAAGCACCGAGGACAUGUGCGGGAGAGCGAGAUGUGCACUGAGGGACUGUUGGCCCCUGUGGGGGCCUGUGAGGGUGACUACGGGGGCCUACUUGCCUGCUUUACCCACAACUGCUGGGUCCUGAAAGGAAUUAGAAUCCCCAACCGAGUAUGCGCAAGGUCGCGCUGGCCAGCCGUCUUCACGCGUGUCUCUGUGUUUGUGGACUGGAUUCACAAGGUCAUGAGACUGGGUUAGGCCCAGCCUUGACGCCAUAUGCUUUGGGGAGGACAAAACUUGUAAGUACAGUCAAGGACAAGACUUGUACUCAAGGUUGAGAUUUAAUAAAAUUAAUAUUUUUACUACUUCA